rnacentral:rRNA from 1 species
GAUGAACGCUGGCGGCGUGCUUAACACAUGCAAGUCGAACGAAGCACUUUAUUUGAUUUCCUUCGGGACUGAUUAUUUUGUGACUGAGUGGCGGACGGGUGAGUAACGCGUGGGUAACCUGCCUUGUACAGGGGGAUAACAGUUGGAAACGGCUGCUAAUACCGCAUAAGCGCACGGCAUCGCAUGAUGCAGUGUGAAAAACUCCGGUGGUAUAAGAUGGACCCGCGUUGGAUUAGCUAGUUGGUGAGGUAACGGCCCACCAAGGCGACGAUCCAUAGCCGACCUGAGAGGGUGACCGGCCACAUUGGGACUGAGACACGGCCCAAACUCCUACGGGAGGCAGCAGUGGGGAAUAUUGCACAAUGGGCGAAAGCCUGAUGCAGCGACGCUGCGUGAGCGAAGAAGUAUUUCGGUAUGUAAAGCUCUAUCAGCAGGGAAGAUAAUGACGGUACCUGACUAAGAAGCACCGGCUAAAUACGUG